AAACAGCAAGGGGAAAACAAUGCCCUUGAAUAUACAGCAUUCAGCUUGCCAGAUGAAGAUUCAGGAAUAUUGAUUCAUUCAUCUCUGUCCUUCGAAUUCAGGACCCAGCACCUUUACUGGCUUCCAUUACACAAAUAGUUAGGUGAGAAACAAAUAAUACUCUUAGAAUAUGUAUAGAAUAUUGGAGUGAAAAAUCAUUUGUAUAAUGGAUUUUUUUUUUUCCUUCUUCAUCUUUGUUUCCUCUGCUAUUUUUUUCCCAGGAUUAAUUUCUCUUUAAUUUGGGCCUGCAGAAUUGGUUUGCAGAGUAGCAAGAUGAACACAAAAUAUCCUUAGUCUUCCAAGUACUACUAAAGUUCCAGAUCUGUUAAUUGGGCUUUUCUUCUACUCCAAAAGUUGAAAAUGCUUUUAAAUAACAUAAGUGGGGUCUAUUUUUGAUAGUGUUUAUUUGUUGAUAUUUUCCAUAUAAAUAUUUAUAUUUGCAUGGCUUUAUCACCUUGGUUUAGCUGAAAGUAGUGAGUGAAGAUAAGUUUCUUCCAAGGAUAAAUAAUUGAAGGGUUCGUAUUGAAUGUUGUGGAAUUGAGGGGUCAGAAUGACUUCCUGCUCUCUGUACUGGAUUACUGUAGUUUGUGGAAGAAAAGGUGAGAGUUUACAAGAAAAAAUCUGGCCCUUCAUUGAAAGGUGACAGUCUUGCCAGUCACAGCUGAGCCUCGCUGUGGUUUUUGGUGACUCAGACUGGGAACAGUUGCUCCUGAUUUACUCCUGAAGAGUGGAAAGCAGGAAAGACACCGCAAUCUUGGCAAUAGUGACAAGUUAUUUUACAGAGCUUAUCUAAAUGUGUACUUUAAUACUUUAAUACUUUUUUUUUUUCCACUACUUUGUUGUUAGAACUUGAUUUUGCCAUUUCCUCCUCCUUUAAAGACUGGUUUUCAGCAAUAGAAAAGACCUUGCUUCUCCCUAAGAAGCCAUUCAGGGAGGUGAAGACUUGAGGAAUGCGCUUCCUCAGGAGGGAAGCUGCAUGGUUAGUGUGCAAAGAGAAUGACAGUGUGUCACCUUCCUGUGUUUUCCUUCAUUGUGGUGUUUGUUGCAACAGAUGCAUGUGUGGGUGUAUGACUUCACCUAUUUAUUCGUUUGUGCUGUAGCAUAUAUCACAGCUGCAAUUUAUUAACUCUGCCUUUUUGGCUGUUCCUGCUAUCUGCUCUGUUGAGCUCGUUUGGAUCCAAUAUCUCCUGAUACACAGCUGUUGUCAAAACGCCUGUGAAUUUCAGGGAGUUUUGUACUGUAACUGCACAUUGACCCUCUUGCAAAACUGGUGUUGAAAAUCUGUGAAAAUUUCCUGUGAGCAGAAGGUGGUCAGGCAGUUCUCCUGGGAGGAAAAAGCUCCAUCCUGUGAAGAAGCAAGGAGGCAGCAAUAGUUUGUGUAGUGUAUACUCUAUGAUUUUUUUUCCUAUUUAACUUGUAAUCCAGAGGUCAGGAAGAUGUACCUAAAGUCUUAUUAAGUCUAAUUAAAGUUUUAUCUUAA